AAGAGGCGGAACCAACGCCAUUAAUCGAAAGAGGAAAAGAAGAAAAGUCAAGUGGAAAAUAAAAUCGGAGAAGAUGAAGGAAAAGGAAACGAAAGAAAGGAUUCCUGGAAGACGAAGAAGAAAUAGAAGAGACAAAAAGAAUAGAAAGCUUGGAGAAGAAGAAAGGCCGUCGUAUCGAACCGUCGCGUCGAAGCGAGUUUCGAGGUCGGUUUUAAUGAUGAAUAGACGGCGGCAAUUAAGAUGACCUAAUUAAUGCCACAUAUGAGACAAAAGUAGAGAAUAUGAUCAAGGCCGUAAAGAAGAGAAUCAGUGGCCAAGAUUAAACCGUACAAAAGAUUGUGCCACAGAUUGCUGCAGAUUAUGUCAGAGAAUUUGAAUUUGAUUGGACCGAGG
rnacentral:lncRNA from 1 species